CUUUUUUUUGCCUGCCCUUAAAGCAGGGCUGUCCAACCUGCGGCCCCCCAGAUGUUGCUGAAAUACAACUCCCAUGAAUCCCUGGCUAUCUGUUUAAUUGAAAGAAUCAUGGGAGUUGUAGUUCAGCAACAUCUGGGGGGCCGCAGGUUGGACAGCCCUGCCUGAGUGUGUGGCAGGUUGUAAAAAAG